GAUGAACGCUGACAGAAUGCUUAACACAUGCAAGUCGAUGGGGAAGUGGUGCUUGCACCAUGGUAACCAUGGCGGACGGGUGAGUAACGCGUAAGGAACUUGCCUGCGGGACUGGGAUAACAGCAGGAAACUGCUGAUAAUACCGGAUAAGGUCAUUAAUCUGCACAGCUUAGUGAUGAAAGGAGACGCCUGCGGAGAGCCUUGCGUCCUAUUAGCUAGUUGGAGGGGUAACGGCGCACCAAGGCGAAGAUAGGUAGCCGGCCUGAGAGGGUGGACGGCCACAAGGGGACUGAGACACGGCCCUUACUCCUACGGGAGGCAGCAGUGGGGAAUAGUGGACAAUGGGGGCGACCCUGAUCCAGCAAUUCUGUGUGCACGAAGACGGUUUUCGGAGUGUAAAGUGCUUUCAGCAGGGAAGAAGGAAGUGACGGUACCUGCAGAAGAAGCGACGGCUAAAUACGUG
rnacentral:rRNA from 1 species